rnacentral:rRNA from 1 species
UGGUGGAGUGAUUUGUCUGGUUAAUUCCGUUAACGAACGAGACCUCAGCCUGCUAAAUAGUUUGCGUUUUCUCACGAAAGCGUAGUUACUUCUCAGAGGGACAUUUCGGUUUUACCGGAAGGAAGUUUGAGGCAAUAACA